rnacentral:rRNA from 1 species
GUAGGUGGCAAGCGUUGUCCGGAAUUAUUGGGCGUAAAGCGCGCGCAGGCGGUUCUUUAAGUCUGAUGUGAAAGCCCACGGCUCAACCGUGGCGGGUCAUUGGAAACUGGAGAACUUGAGUACAGAAGAGGAAAGCGGAAUUCCACGUGUAGCGGUGAAAUGCGUAGAGAUGUGGAGGAACACCAGUGGCGAAGGCGGCUUCCUGGUCUGUAACUGACGCUGAGGCGCGAAAGCGUGGGGAGCAAACAGGGAUUAGAUACCCUGGUAGUCCACGCCGUAAACGAUGAGUGCUAAGUGUUAGGGGGUUUCCGCCCCCUUAGUGCUGCAGCUAACGCAUUAAGCACUCCGCCUGGGGAGUACGGCCGCAAGGCUG